UUACCAAGCGAAUUGUUUUUUGUGAAAGUAUUCACU
rnacentral:misc_RNA from 1 species